GAAGAACGCGGGCGGCGUGCUUAACACAUGCAAGUCGAACGGAAAGGCCCUGCUUUUGUGGGGUGCUCGAGUGGCGAACGGGUGAGUAACACGUGAGUAACCUGCCCUUGACUUUGGGAUAACUUCAGGAAACUGGGGCUAAUACCGGAUAGGAGCUCCUGCUGCAUGGUGGGGGUUGGAAAGUUUCGGCGGUUGGGGAUGGACUCGCGGCUUAUCAGCUUGUUGGUGGGGUAGUGGCUUACCAAGGCUUUGACGGGUAGCCGGCCUGAGAGGGUGACCGGCCACAUUGGGACUGAGAUACGGCCCAGACUCCUACGGGAGGCAGCAGUGGGGAAUAUUGCACAAUGGGCGGAAGCCUGAUACAGCAACGCCGCGUGCGGGAUGACGGCCUUCGGGUUGUAAACCGCUUUCGCCUGUGACGAAGCGUGAGUGACGGUAAUGGGUAAAGAAGCACCGGCUAACUACGUG
rnacentral:rRNA from 1 species